CUUGGUGGUAGUAACAAAUAUUCAAAUGAGAACUUUGAAGACUGAAGUGGGAAAAGGUUCCAUGUGAAUAACACUUGGACAUGGUUUAGUCGAUCCUAAGAGAUGGGGAAGCCAUGUAUCAAUGGUUCACUCUGCACAAACAUCGAAAGGGAAUUGGGUUAAUAUUACCGAACCGAGACAUGGCGGUGGACGACAACGUUAGGAAAUUCGAAGCCAUCUUUGGGGGCCCCGGGAAGAGUUAUCUUUUCUAUUUAAUGACUUUCCCACCCCGAAAUCGGUUCAACCUGAUCCGCAUUUUAUGAGCAGAACAAAAUGAAUAUAGAUUAUUAAAAGAUGCUUAACAAAAAAUAACAAAGAUACAAUAAAACUGGUUUUCUAUUCAAUAAGGAAAUAAGUUGAAUCUGUAAAAUGCAGUGGAAAAGAAGCUUGUUGGAAUGGUGGCGGCUUAUCUCUGAGAAGAGAUGCGACGACUGUGCUCAUUCGCCAUAAGAUUAUUACAAUGAGGAUAUGAAGGCCUUUUUACAAUAAACAGUAAUGUAAAAAACCCUAUACAUCCAAGAACCUAACCCUAGGAGAUGAAGCACCAAAAGUCAUGUGGGCCCCAUUUGGAUAAGUUAGUACAUCAACUUCCCGGGGUCGUAACUUUUUCAUAUGAUCUUCGUUUUAGGCACACGAUAGCCCAUUGGAAAGGUCUAGACGAGGACUACACAUUUUGAUGCUAUUUAUAAAAGGUCAUUUGCGACUGUGGCGAGCCCUAAAAACGUUAUUUAGGGACUCAAAACGGCCCCACAAGUUAGGGACCCAAAACUAGGAAAAAACUGCCAAACUAGAAAACUGCCAAAAUGAACCAGUUGGAAUAGGUGGGUGGCCACCGACAUCCAUAUGGAUCACAACCGGAGAUAGGGUCCAACAUAUGGAAGAGAACCGCACAUCUUGCAGUGUCCAGUGCCCCUUUGAUGGCCAUUGAAAAUCUAGAGGACCGAGUAUCAUCCAUGCCCGAUCGUACUCAUAACCGUAUUAGGUCUCCAAGGUGAACAACCUAUAGUUAAUAGAACAAUGUAGGUAAGGGAAGUCAGAAAAACAGAUCCAUAACUUUGGGAAAAGGAUUGACUCUGAGGGUUGGGUCUAGGGGUCUGCAUCUUCAACCCGUGGGUAGUCGAUAGUCUUCCCGAGUUGAUCUCGUAGUGAGGGUGUGUUGUCAAGUGAAAAUUGGGCUAUGAACAUAGAAUGUCCCCUCGUGGGGGAUUUUCUGUAUGCGGUGAAAAUUUGACUUAGAACUGGUACGGAGAAGGGGAAUAUGUCAUUUUAAUUAAAACAAAGCAUUGUGAUGGUCCCUAUGGAUGCUGACGCAAUGUGAUUUUUUCCCAGUGCUCUGAAUGUCAAAGUGAAUAAAUUCAACAAAGCAUGAGUAAACGACGAGAAUAACUAUGACUCUAUUAAGGUAUUAAAAUUCCUCAUCAUCUAAUUACUAACGUGCAUGAAUGGAUUAACAAGAUUCAUAUUGUCCCUAUCUACUAUAUAACAAAAACACAUCCAAGGGAAUGGGCUUGGAAUAAU
rfam:Picea glauca, whole genome shotgun sequence.